GAGCCGGAGGGAAACCGAGUCUUAAUUGGGCGUUAAGUUGCAGGGUAUAGACCCGAAACCCGGUGAUCUAGCCAUGGGCAGGUUGAAGGUUGGGUAACACUAACUGGAGGACCGAACCGACUAAUGUUGAAAAAUUAGCGGAUGACCUGUGGCUGGGGGUGAAAGGCCAAUCAAACCGGGAGAUAGCUGGUUCUCCCCGAAAGCUAUUUAGGUAGCGCCUCGUGAAUUCAUCUCCGGGGGUAGAGCACUGUUUCGGCUAGGGGGCCAUCCCGGCUUACCAACCCGAUGCAAACUGCGAAUACCGGAGAAUGUUAUCACGGGAGACACACGGCGGGUGCUAACGUCCGUCGUGAAGAGGGAAACAACCCAGACCGCCAGCUAAGGUCCCAAAGUCAUGGUUAAGUGGGAAACGAUGUGGGAAGGCCCAGACAGCCAGGAUGUUGGCUUAGAAGCAGCCAUCAUUUAAAGAAAGCGUAAUAGCUCACUGGUCGAGUCGGCCUGCGCGGAAGAUGUAACGGGGCUAAACCAUGCACCGAAGCUGCGGCAGCGACGCUUAUGCGUUGUUGGGUAGGGGAGCGUUCUGUAAGCCUGCGAAGGUGGCCUGUGAGGGUUGCUGGAGGUAUCAGAAGUGCGAAUGCUGACAUAAGUAACGAUAAAGCGGGUGAAAAGCCCGCUCGCCGGAAGACCAAGGGUUCCUGUCCAACGUUAAUCGGGGCAGGGUGAGUCGACCCCUAAGGCGAGGCCGAAAGGCGUAGUCGAUGGGAAACGGGUUAAUAUUCCCGUACUUGGUGUUACUGCGAAGGGGGGACGGAGAAGGCUAUGUUGGCCGGGCGACGGUUGUCCCGGUUUAAGCGUGUAGGUGUGUGUUCCAGGUAAAUCCGGUUCACUUUAACACUGAGGCGUGACGACGAGGCACUACGGUGCUGAAGCAACAAAUGCCCUGCUUCCAGGAAAAGCCUCUAAGCAUCAGGUAACAUCAAAUCGUACCCCAAACCGACACAGGUGGUCAGGUAGAGAAUACCAAGGCGCUUGAGAGAACUCGGGUGAAGGAACUAGGCAAAAUGGUGCCGUAACUUCGGGAGAAGGCACGCUGACACGUAGGUGAAGUGAUUUACUCAUGGAGCUGAAGUCAGUCGAAGAUACCAGCUGGCUGCAACUGUUUAUUAAAAACACAGCACUGUGCAAACACGAAAGUGGACGUAUACGGUGUGACGCCUGCCCGGUGCCGGAAGGUUAAUUGAUGGGGUCAGCGCAAGCGAAGCUCCUGAUCGAAGCCCCGGUAAACGGCGGCCGUAACUAUAACGGUCCUAAGGUAGCGAAAUUCCUUGUCGGGUAAGUUCCGACCUGCACGAAUGGCGUAAUGAUGGCCAGGCUGUCUCCACCCGAGACUCAGUGAAAUUGAACUCGCUGUGAAGAUGCAGUGUACCCGCGGCAAGACGGAAAGACCCCGUGAACCUUUACUAUAGCUUGACACUGAACAUUGAGCCUUGAUGUGUAGGAUAGGUGGGAGGCUUUGAAGUGUGGACGCCAGUCUGCAUGGAGCCGACCUUGAAAUACCACCCUUUAAUGUUUGAUGUUCUAACGUGGACCCGUUACCCGGGUUGCGGACAGUGUCUGGUGGGUAGUUUGACUGGGGCGGUCUCCUCCUAAAGAGUAACGGAGGAGCACGAAGGUUGGCUAAUCCUGGUCGGACAUCAGGAGGUUAGUGCAAUGGCAUAAGCCAGCUUGACUGCGAGCGUGACGGCGCGAGCAGGUGCGAAAGCAGGUCAUAGUGAUCCGGUGGUUCUGAAUGGAAGGGCCAUCGCUCAACGGAUAAAAGGUACUCCGGGGAUAACAGGCUGAUACCGCCCAAGAGUUCAUAUCGACGGCGGUGUUUGGCACCUCGAUGUCGGCUCAUCACAUCCUGGGGCUGAAGUAGGUCCCAAGGGUAUGGCUGUUCGCCAUUUAAAGUGGUACGCGAGCUGGGUUUAGAACGUCGUGAGACAGUUCGGUCCCUAUCUGCCGUGGGCGCUGGAGAACUGAGGGGGGCUGCUCCUAGUACGAGAGGACCGGAGUGGACGCAUCACUGGUGUUCGGGUUGUCAUGCCAAUGGCACUGCCCGGUAGCUAAAUGCGGAAGAGAUAAGUGCUGAAAGCAUCUAAGCACGAAACUUGCCCCGAG
rnacentral:rRNA from 1 species